GACAGAGGAUGCAAGCGUUAUCCGGAAUGAUUGGGCGUAAAGCGUCUGUAGGUGGCUUUUUAAGUCCGCCGUCAAAUCCCAGGGCUCAACCCUGGAGAGGCGGCGGAGACCACCGGGCUUGAGUCCGGUAGGGGCAGAGGGAAUUUCCGGUGGAGCGGUGAAAUGCGUAGAGAUCGGAAAGAACACCAACGGCGAAAGCACUCUGCUGGGCCGACACUGACACUGAGAGACGAAAGCUAGGGGAGCGAAUGGG
rnacentral:rRNA from 1 species